ACAGAAAACCUAUGUUUGAGAGAAACUGAUAAUGAAUAGAAGAAUUUUCCUUGAAAAGUGCAUGUCACUGCUGGAAUAUAAGCUUUUUGUUGUUGUUUAUUUAAACAAGUGUCAGUACAGCCAUGUUUAUAUUUGAGCAGAGAAUUAAGCACUUCAGAAACCAUGGCUCUGUGUUUACCAUAGCAGUGUAUAAGUGUCCUGACACUUGUUGGUUGCUUCAUUGCAAUCAGUCUAUCCAGAGCUGGAAGAUAAGCUCCAGAAGAUCCUCUUGAUUACCUAAAUAAGAUAAAAUCUAGGAAAUGCAUUUAUAAGAGUAGAAUGAAGGAUUGAUUAGAAUAACAGCAAUAACAAACAGUGUGGGAAAACAACCUGCAGUAAGAGUUAUUAAAGUAGUUUACAAAAUGUCUGAUAAAAAGCAUGAACAAAGACAAUUGCUAUGAUAGUGCAGCAUGUGUCUUAGUUGGUCACCACUCUUACCUAACUUGCAUUAUCUACAGCUGUAGGCAGUUGCCCCAAGCUCCUUUCACAGCUGUAGUGGGAAACUAGGAGCUGUCAGGAGCUUCAUCAGGAGCUUUGUAUCUAAUUAUUCUUUGCUUUGAAAAGAAAAAUAACCUCCUGAAGCCUACUUUUGAAUCCAACUUCUUUUACUUAUGCCAGGACAGCUCUACAGAUCUUCCUUGGCUUUGUCCACUUCCUUUCAGGAACCUAUGAUACACUAGUUCAUGACAGUCAUGGUCAGAUCAAUUACUCAUUUAUGUGCUUACCUAGGAUAGGACAGAAGUAAUUUAUAUUAUGUUUAGAUGUUUUCUUUAAUUGGAUCAUGGAGUAUCUCCACAUUGUGAUAAUCAAAGCAAGUCAUGCCACGUGGUAGGGGAUGGUUUGUAGAACUGUUAGAUCUAGGAAGAGAUUUUCUUUUUUUAUUUGCAUUUAGUUUUUGUUGUACUUAAUGAAUAUCCCAGUCUUUGCAACUAUCUUGCAGCAGAAGGUACUGAGUUGUAAUAUUCAGUAUAAGAGAACUCAUCAGUCAAAUCCAAUGCAGAAUCCAAAGUUACCUGGAACAGUGGAACUCUGAGGAGGAUAAUUAAAAGAAGAGUCGCUACGUUCCUCCAAAGAAUUUCUAAUACAUACUUAUUUUGGUCAAAGCUUGCAGCAUGACAGCCAUUUCAUCAUCACAGCGGCAAUCUGUGUUUUUAGGCAAAGCAGUGGAAGGAUAUUUUUGACUCUUCAUUUUGAAGGAUUUGAUAGCAAGGUGUCAUUCACAAAUAUGACACUUCUGCACAGAAGCACAUCCCCCACAACUGUUAAAUGAUCAAAUCAGACCAAUAAUGGAGAACUGAAAACUAUGACUUUGCUCUUUGCCUCUGGCUACCCCUCAGUUUUCAGGUUGAGUGUGGACUGGAGAGAAGGUUUCAGCAUCAGCCAUUACUCUGAAAUAAGCUGGUGAACCAACACUGUGAAAGAACUGCCUUUCUAUUGAAUCACAUACAUUCUCACCUUGGCGGUGGACUAAAUCUGGUGCAGAAACUGCUGUAAGCAAACAGAGUAGCGCUACAUGUGAGCACACCAAGCUGAGCCUUCUCCAGAACAACCAGCUCCAGCCAGCUCCUGGUUUCUCCAAGGACUGCUCCAUCUUAUCACACAUCUCCCCAUUGUCUUCUCCAGCAAGCGGCAAUAUUACAGAAACUGGACUGUGAAGAGAAUGUUACCUUAAAAAAUCUUAGAAAAAUUGAUAUUCUGCAAUGCACUGACAAGACCCUAAUAAUUAUCCUAAGAAGAGUAAUUCCAUGUCUCAUCUCAAAGUUCAGUGCAUUCCCAUGUGAACGUAAAUUAUAAACGUAUGCUUCUAGGAAGAGGUGCCACCUUGAAAUUCUGUAAGUAACAUCAAAUCACAUGCAAAAUAUGUAUCCCUUUACAAAUUUUGCCAGGACUGACUUUUAUAUGUUACUUAUUUAUCGCAAAUAUAGAUAAAUGUGGCAAAAAUGGCUUCAAAUUUUCUUAAUGAACCCUACUCAUAGUCUGUAAUAAUCUAUAAAUAUUCCUGUGGUAGUCAGAGGACACAGAAAAAUAUUGAUGUUUCCUUUUUUUAUACAUUAUUAAAUGCAUAUGUAUGUAAUGUUUAACAUACAUGUAUAUUCACUUACCUAAUAUUUUCUGCAAGGAUUAGAGAUCACUUAAUACAGUCUGUUUUAAAACCAGGACUUUUCACCAGCCAAUUGAAUAUUUUGCAUGAAACAUUACUUGUAUAUAAAUCAGUAUUGAAUGUAAAAUUUAUUAAAUAUUGUGUGUCAC
rnacentral:lncRNA from 7 species